AUGGCUGCCAUUGAUUUUUGUUGCUACGCUCGGCCAACCUUCUCCCCCGUCGUGGCUAGCGAGCCAUCUUCGAUUCCAACUCCGCCCAUCCCCGCGACACAUAGCGACCGCGGCGCGCCGUUGCCGGCCUCUCCUGCAGCGCAGCAGACCCCUCGGGGCGGCUGGAGGUGCUGGGAGCGCUGGGGCGCCCGUGCUAUGAUGCGCAUCAGGAGUUGCUGGACCUCUGGCGGCCGUGCUGCGAGAUGCCACAAGGUCCACCAAAGCUGCGGCGGGGCUGCGUCAGGAUGCUGGAACCGGAGACCCCCGGUGCUACUAUCGGUUGCAUCUUGGGGAAUGCAAGCUGUGGUGUGUUGCUGCUGCUACUAA
rnacentral:rRNA from 1 species